rnacentral:lncRNA from 1 species
AAAUUUAAAAUUCAAAAUUCAAAAUUUAAAAUUCAAAGAUUGGAAAUUCGAAACUUGAAAUUUGGUUGAAAUCUCAAAUUUGAAAUUUGAAAUUUGAAAUUUGAAAUUUAAAAUUUGAAAUUCAAAAUUUAAAUUUUGAAAUUGGUAUAUUUAGAUAUACUUGAUCCAAGUAGCAAGUAAUCUAAUUGGGUUGGUUGCCAUGGCCGUCCGGUCAUAGGAGAAAAGUAGGGUUUAAAGGCCCUCUCUUCCUAUUCGAUGGGGUCUCCUAUGGCAGUAGGGGUGCCGAUGCAAUUAUAUCCCAUGCCGAUGAAGCAGCAAAAAGACUUAAUUAUAAAAUUUAUCAUGAAUGUAUUAGAUUAGAUCUAAAA